GUCAACACCAACUGAAGACGACACUAAAGCAGCUGACACCACGACACUUUUUGCAAUUAGUAGUAUUUGGUGGUACGUCAUUGUGGCUGUGGUUUUAGUAGCACUCUUAAUAAUCACUGUGGCUCUCAUCAAAUGGAAGAGAACUAAAGGGAACACAACACGGACGGACGGCAAUGUUGGAAUGACCUCAAACCCUGCUCCAGAGACCAGCCAGGACACGGCUGAUCCUGAAGAAGGUGUUUCCUACGCCUCCGUCAGCUACACCAAGAAGACCAACAGUAAAGCCCAGGGUCAGAGUAAACAUGAUGAUGAUGAUGAUGAUGCGGUGACAUACGCGACCGUGAAAGCUUCCUCCGCUGAUCCCAGCAACCUCUACGCUGCCAUUACCUAACCAAACAAACCAAACUCAUGUCUGCUUUUCUCUGUUGAUGGUUUUUGGAUGGAUUAAUGUAAAUAUCUUCCUUUUCACAAGGAGGUGAAGUCUCACUGGUGUCUCAAUGUAAAAAGGGGAAGUAGUAUCACUAUAUGGGUGGUUGCUUAAAAUAUAAAUGAGCAUAAUAUAUUACACAUUUUGCUUGAUGAACUUGCUCUCGUGCACUUCGUUGUGCUCAGAGAUGGAAGUGCUAAUCUUAGGUUAUUAUAAGUAAGUUGCUUUUUUUGUUUCAAUAACAUGUAUUGCCUGUAAUUUAUUCAUGAGCAAUUUUUUUCAAACUUGAGCAAUUCUGCUGAUUUUCUCAUCAUGUUUUUCUUUAUUUUCCAAGUUGCUUCUUUUAUUGUUAGAUAUGCAAUGAUUUGAACAUUUCUGUCUCCUUUUAUCAGUAUUUAAAGCAAACUUAUUAAACAGCUGAAUGACUGAA